rnacentral:lncRNA from 1 species
GUGUAAGUAUUAUGACAAUUCAACUCCUCUUUUUAUUUCAAGAUAUCAUUUUUUUUCAUAUAGUAGACAGUCAAUCCAAUGUAUUAGAGGAUCCAGUCUUAUUUUCUUUAUUUUGCUUUACUUUUCUUUUUCUUGUUGUAUUCCUUUUUUUUCUACCCCUUUCUUUUUUUUUCCUUUAAAACUGAAGAGGUAAAUUAUGAAAAUGAGAUACACCCCCACACUUAUUCAAAAA